rnacentral:rRNA from 1 species
GACGAACGCUGGCGGCGUGCUUAACACAUGCAAGUCGAGCGGUAAGGCCCUUUCGGGGGUACACGAGCGGCGAACGGGUGAGUAACACGUGGGUGACCUGCCCUCAGCUCUGGGAUAAGCCUGGGAAACUGGGUCUAAUACUGGGUAUGACUCCACGGUGCAUGUCGUGGGGUGGAAAGCCUUGUGCGGCUGAGGAUGGGCCCGCGGCCUAUCAGCUUGUUGGUGGGGUGAUGGCCUACCAAGGCGACGACGGGUAGCCGGCCUGAGAGGGCGACCGGCCACACUGGGACUGAGACACGGCCCAGACUCCUACGGGAGGCAGCAGUGGGGAAUCUUGCGCAAUGGGCGAAAGCCUGACGCAGCGACGCCGCGUGAGGGAUGACGGCCUGGUGUAA